CAUUUUGGGUUUACACACUCUUGGCAGGAGGGCUGCCCAGCUGCAGGCUCUGCUUCUCAGGCAUCCUCAGCUGAAGCUGUGAUGAUUGGCCCUUGGGGAAGAAGGAAGGAGGCGGAUAACUUCCUGCACCUGCUCUGGCUUGCAUGAGGGAUUCCCCCUUCUCACCCAUUAGACUGAAACUACUUGGGACAAAGGGACUAUUUCUAGCUUAUUGUAAUGGAACAAGAGGAUUGAAUUCUAAGUUCAGAAGGAAAGCUUCAUGGAUAACACAGUGCUGCACCUUGAGAAGAGACAGCCUGGAUCCCAUUUCAAGACCAUCCACACGAGUUCCUCAAAGCUAAAGGCCCAUUUCAAAGUCUUUGGGCUAUACAAUUCUGAAUUUGUAGAUGUCUUAGGGUAAUUGUCAAAGUAGAAAAAAUAAAAAAAGCUGGCUGACACAACCUUCCUUCAUCACAGGCCUUGCUCCACCUCAAAAUAACUUCACGCAUGAUGCUUUCAGGGACUUAUAACUCACCCCUACUUUACUCCAGAUACCCCCUCAAAAGGAUGGAGCACAGGAUGGUGAAUGAGAACGAGAGAAGGAGAGGACAUUUCCAGGGGAAAUGACCAUGUUGUCGGCCACAGCCACCCUCUGAAAGGCAUCCGGGAGAAUGGCUCCCUCACUGCAGAAGAGAAAAACUCCCGCCAGCCUGUCAGCAGAUCUGGGCUAGAACAUUCCCUGGAGGUUUGCUCGAAGCACAUGAUGUGCUUUUGUUCCUGAGGAUGAGAGAGUUUGUCGCUGAGCUAGCUGUCCCUGGCCUUGCAGUCCUCUCUGUCAUAAUAUUGCUUCUCAGAUCUCCCGCUGUGACUCAUGCUCCCAUUCUGUUUGGGGGCUGUUGUAACUUUCCCUGUGCAUCUCAUCCACCCUGGUGCUCAGCUCUCACCAGGGCUCCCCAGCUUGACACCUCCAGUCAACCCAUCAGGAGCCUAGCAGGGUAUAAAUAACUUCCCUGAGAAGGACAGUUUCCUAUUGUGUGUUUGAGGUGUUCCUAGGGUGGUUGUUAGGGAUCAAAAUUCAAUGCACACCAUCACCCUCCUUCACACAGAAGGAGAUGACUUUGAUAGUACUCUGAUCAGGGAGGAGAUUGACAUAGGGAGGUAGCUCUCAAAUGUGCCUGGUAACCAGCAGCAGCAGCAGCAGCUGGGAACUGUUAGAACUGUCAAUUCCCAGACCCAUCCCAGACAGCCAAGCAGAGAAUCUGAGGAUGGGCUCCAGCAGUCUGGGUUUUCACAGGCCAAGCCCUCUGGGUUGUGUUGAUGCUCAGCAGACGCAGGACAAGUGUCCUAGUGCAUCUUAUUUUGUGUUGGCUGUUCUGUGUUCUCAUGAUGCUCUCACAUGCAUCAUCUUGCUGAACCUUCACAUGACUUUAGGUAAUUGGCUGGAGAAGACAAAGCUGGGAGGUUAUUCUCAUUUUGCAGACGAGAAGGUACAAAUCAUCAAUGCUAUAUAACUUGUGCAUGGUCCCCACUGCUGGAGCUGGAAACUGCCUUUCUACUUCUUGGGCACUCUGACCCAGUGAAGGAAGACAGAUAGAAGUGUUUGGGAGAACAGUAGCAGAACAUGAAAAGGGAGGGUUUCAUAAUCCUCCAGGUAUGAUGUAGACCACAUCAUCACCCAAGAAAAGGGGAAGGCUUGAGGGCAAGGCUCAGUGUUUUCACGAAGAGUGCAGGGUUAGGGUCUAAAGUUGUAAAGACACAGGGUAACUUGUGCUCUGUUACCUCUUAUGUGCUGUGGGUCCUUGGCCAAAGUCCCAGACUUUCUGAACCUUGGUUUCUGACUAUAAAAGAGGGCUGACGAUAGAAGUGUGUAGCAUAGAGGUUGCACUGAGGGUCAAAGAACAUAGUGCAUGUAAGUUCAUUUGCAGACACUUCAAUUAUAGUGAGCAGUUGAUUUUUAUGUUACUGUUACUAUUAGGAAUUUAAAGAAAAGGGAGGUAAAGACUAGCUUAUUACUCAGCUCUGAACUAUUCAAGAUGGUGAAUGAUGUUAAAAUGAGCAGCCGUUUACUGGACUCCUCUCCCAUGUCUGGGUUUGCUUCAAGGGAUGUCCUCAAAGGCACAGGGAAGGGAGUUGGGCAAGAGUCCUGGAUGAGAAGCUGGGACUAGACUGGAGCAUUUUCCAGGAUGGGUUGGGGUUGCAGAGAUGGAGGGAGACCUUGAAAUGCAUUGGGCCUGAAGUUAGGAACGGAGAACCCAGCAGUGCAAGGCCAUGCGCUAGAUGCUUACCAUGACAGAUGGGGACCUAAUUCACAGAAGUUUCUGCAGCUCUUUUAGGACAGGUACAUGGACCAUGGAUGGCAAUGGAGGCCUAUUUUAUUAUGGGCCUGGCAUUGUGGCACAAAGAUGGUCUGAUCGUUAGCCCUCUAUUGUGCUAGAUGCUGUAGAAGAUUAAACUUGAUAUUCUAUUUUUGAAGGAUGCUGGGAAUGACUGGAAGUGAAUCAUUUCCUUACCUCCUACAUUGAUAGGGGAGAAUGCAAGGAUCAUUUGUGGUGUUCCCUUCCCUUUAUUGGAGGUGUCUUCCUUGGCUCAUGCUUAGACUGUGAAAUGGGUUCACUCCAUGGAAAGUUAAAGCAGGUAGAGACCUGUCUCCUCUCCUAAUAGCAGAGGUGGACCUUGGUCCUCUUUAUGCAUCUGAUUUGGGAAAGGUCACUCAGGUUGUUCUCCAGGCUCAUUUUCCCUCUGCACCCACCCCGUCAAUGUCCCUCAAGGUGUGUUUGCUAGGCGAGAGGGGGCUUUGACCUACUAGUCACAUUCUCCAGUCCACAUUUUAUCAGAACUGGGUUGCGGAAUAUCUAAUGCCUGCAUGACUAUUAUGAAUUUGUAUUUAAUUGUUAUGUAUAUGAUUAUAUAUAGUCAUGUACAAAUGCGAUUAAUUUAUAUUAGUUGAUCAAAACAUGCCAUGGACUGAAUGUUUGUGUCUCCCAAAAUUCACGUGUUGAAGCCUGAACCACAGUGUGAUGGCAUUGGAGGUGGAGCCAUUGGGUGAUUAGGUUUAGAUGAGGCCAUGAGAGUGGACCUCCAUGAUGGGAUUUGAGUUCGAAGAUGAAGAGGAAGAAAGAGCCAUGCUUUCUCUCCCCCCGCCCCAUGGGAGGAUACAAGGAGACAGUGGGUGUCUUCAAUUCAGGAGGAGGGCUCUUCUCAGGAAUUGAGUAUGUCAGUGUCUCCAUCUUUGACUUUCAUCCUCUGUAACUAUGAGAAAUAAACACCUGUUGUUUGGGCA